CUUGGUCAUUUAGAGGAAGUAAAAGUCGUAACAAGGUUUCCGUAGGUGAACCUGCGGAAGGAUCAUUAGUGAACGCCCUCACGGGCUUAUAACUAUUCCAAACCUCUGUGAACCGUGCCCUUCGGGGCUAUUUUACAAACAUGGUGUAAUGAACGUCAUAUAUCAUAACAAAACAAAACUUUCAACAACGGAUCUCUUGGCUCUCGCAUCGAUGAAGAACGCAGCGAAAUGCGAUAAGUAAUGUGAAUUGCAGAAUUCAGUGAAUCAUCGAAUCUUUGAACGCACCUUGCGCCCUCUGGUAUUCCGGAGGGCAUGCCUGUUUGAGUGUCAUGUAGACUCAAUCCCUCGGGUUUCCGAGGAGAUUGGACUUGGGUGUUGCCGCUCUGCCGGCUCGCCUUAAAAGACUUAGCGGGAUAGCACCGUGUCGGCGUAAUAAGUUUCGUCGGUGAAGGUUGUGAUGACUGCUUACAAUCGCCCUCGGGCAAUUUUUGACUCUGACCUCAAAUCAGGUAGGACUACCCGCUGAACUUAAGCAUAUCAAUAAGCGGAGGA
rnacentral:rRNA from 1 species